AGUAGUUGCUACGAUAUUUUGUUCGUACAAAUUCUAGGAGGUUUACGGUAACAACUGUGUCUCCUAGGAGUUCUGUACAAUAAAAGACAAGACUUCUACAAACAGCAGCGUUUGAUGUGGCUCCUUCUUCCAUCGCAGGGUUCAGCCAGUUUCUUAGUGUUAUUUUUAUAAUGUCACAGGAUGGAAGCGGACAAUUAAAGAGCAGGUUAUGUUUCUCUGUUUUUCCCACUGCCCAGCUCAGUGCCCUGUUUUCUGAAUUGGAUCAGAGAUGAUGAGAGAGACCUCAAAGGACCUGGAGAGCCUGGAAUACAGGCUGGACUCUGCCCCUGUUCUGCGGUGUGAGAAGAAAACAGAUUUAGUGCCCGUUUGCCAAAUUUGUGAGACAUGUGUCUUGGCUUGGAGGGUCUUCUCUACCAAAGAGUGGUUCCUGCGGGCCAGCGAUGUCUCCCAAAGGAAGUUCCUGGUGGGGAUCGUGAAGCGAUUCAACAGCCUGGAUUUGCUAAACUAUGCUGAGAAAGUCCUGCAGACCUCCCACGGGAAGGAUUUCACUUUCAGCCGGUCCCGAACCAGCUUCAAAGAAGACACGACCACAUCUGCUUCUGACUGGACUUUGAAUACAGCAAUGCUAGAGCAAGCCAUGUUGGAGACCUGGAGGUGGUUCAAAACCGGUUCCUACUGGACUAAAGCAAACUACACUCUGCUCUUGUUUCAGAUGUGUAACCCUAAGUUACUGUUUAUGGCUGCCAGCCUGGUCAGAGAACAGAGCGCCAGCUCAAAAACAGAAACAGAGGACGAGGAAGACAAAUUCACUGUGGCCUUCACUGAGACCCAAAGCAGCUUUAAGCUACAGGAACACACAAAAUCCAGCUCCCAGGUGCAAUUGCAACCCACAUCUCAAUCCUUCCUGACUUCUUCCACAGCCCUAGAAAGUGGGGUCUCAUCAGAAGGAACCAGCCAGUUUAGUGAAACAGGCAUAGGUGCCCAAGGGCAGAUACCGUGCUUCUGGCCCAGAAACCUGGCGCACAUCUAUUGUGCGAGAGCUGUGUCAGAGGAUGAGGAUACAUCCACCGUGUCUUCAAUCGACCCAGCCCUCGCCGUUGUCCCUGCAUCUUUCCAGUCAGCCUCCAGUGUCAACAAGUACAAGGACUUCAUCCGCUGCCUGCCAACCCACCUGUCCAAGUAUAUCCUGGGGUUUCUGGAUACAAAGAGCCUGAACAGGUGCACUUCUGUGAGCCACCACUGGGCUUUCCUGGUCAAAGAGGUCAAGCAGGAACAUCUGUCGCAUCGCCUAGUCCUGGAAGAGAUCGUGUACUUGCAGGGGUCGUGUCCUAGGGGAGCAUUUCCCAGCUAUGCUAAAAUGACCAUCGUUGUAAUUCCAAGGAUAACUAAAGAUGGAGAGAUCAUCCCAGCAAGAAGCCACAGAUGGAAACGCAGAGGAAAGGAGGAGAACAACCUACAGGGGGCUUAUCAUGGCCAGAUGACUGAAACUGUCCAGCUGGAGGAGAGAAACAUCUUCUGCGGCUCCUAUAACGUUCGUGUCCUUACAGACCAGUCAGAUCCACACAGGGUAAUCCACUACAGUGGUGGGAACUUACUUGCCAUUGGCUCAGCGGACCGCAAAGUCAGGUUCCUUAACGUGUUGGAGCUGAAGGAAGUGCCACCUGUGAUCAGUGGCCAUGCAGGGAGCAUCAAGGCAGUGUUCCUCAACGAGAAGAAAGGGUUUGUGCUGAGUGCCAGCUUUGAUCUCAGCAUCAGAUGCUGGAAUAUAUUCACUGGGGCUUGUGUGAAGAUCCUUAACGGUCACACGGGGACCAUCACUUGCCUGGACGUGUACAAAAACAGGAUUGUGUCAGGAGCAAGAGAUUGCAUGGUCAAAGUGUGGGAUUUAAACACCGGGCGAUGCAUUAAAACUUUAAAACACAAAGAUGCCAUUUGGACAGCUAAAAUCAACAACACCCACAUUGUGAGCGGUUGCGAAAAAGGGUUGGUGAAAGUGUGGCACGCUGAUACGUGCGUGUUGAUCAAGACCUUAGAAGGGCACCAAGGCCCAGUAAAAUGCCUGGCCUUUGAUCAAUGGCAUCUAGUGACAGGAAGCUCUGAUGGAUUUGUCCUGGGAUGGAGCAUGGUGGGAAAACAUAAGAGAUGUCUAAUGGCUUUCAGGCACCCACAGGAAGUCCUGUAUCUGGCGUUUCUGUAUCUCCGAGUCAUCAGUGGCUGCGCUGAUGGAAAAAUACGUAUAUUUAACUUCCUGACUGGGACCUGCCUGAAGGUGAUGAGGGCCAAUAGCAGAGGUGACCCUGUGGUGUCCUUCUGCAUUGUAGAAAAUAGGAUGGUGAUCAAUGCUCUGAGCAGCAUAUUGAUGUUCCAAUUUGAGGAUGUAGAGUGGGACUACACGCUACAGGCCGACAGAGAGGAAGUAACAAAGGCUAAGGAAAAGCACAAUGAAAUCAGGGUCAGAAUGCUGCCCUAUCCAUAUGUUCACUCUCGGCACGUGAAACAUGAUGUUGCCAGCCACAGGAAGACACUUUAUUCCGAGGAGAAACCAGAUGAAGACCAGAUAAUGUUGGCAUACUUGAUUCGCCGUCGGUCAACAAGGGAUUGCGGGACACCGUUAGGUACUGUAUACAUCUCUUGCAGUGCACUGUGUUAAAGGGGCAGCCCCAACCUGAAAUCUAGUCAGUUUAGAAAAUGAGUUAGGAAAUAUUUUCAGGUACCCACUGUCCUAGCCCAAUCCCCCACCAUUGUCCAGGGAUGUGUGCUAGACGGCUGCUGCAUUUUAGCGAUGUAUAUAUUUUGUAAGGCCCUUUAGGAUCCUGUGAGAAGCAGGGUGCAACAGAAAAUUGAGGCCUUAAUUCAGCAAGCUAUUCAAGUGUCUAAUUUUAAGUAUGUGAGUACUCUCACUGAAGUCAGUGGGAUUACUCAUGUGCUUAAAGUUAGGCAUAUGCUUAAGUACCUGCUGAGUGGUGCACAAAUUAUUACUUAUUUUAAAAUUCCCCCCCACAGUAUAAGUCUAAGCAGCAUCUGUGAUUAGACUUCACAACCAAGAUGAAGAUUAAAUCCAACAGGUUUGCACUCUUCAAACUGUAACAUUCCGAUGCAGUCUGAGUCUAUGCCCUGGUCUACACUAGGACUUUAGGUUGAAUUUAGCAGCGUUAAAUCGAUGUAAACCUGCACCCGUCCACACGAUGAAGCCCUUUAUUUCGACUUAAAGGGCUCUUAAAAUAGAUUUCCUUACUCCACCCCUGACAAGUGGAUUAGCACUUAAAUCGGCCUUGCCGGGUCGAAUUUGGGGUACUGUGGACACAAUUCGACGGUAUUGGCCUCCGGGAGCUAUCCCAGAGUACUCCAUUGUGACCGCUCUGGACAGCACUCUCAACUCAGAUGCACUGGCCAGGUAGACAGGAAAAGAACCGCGAACUUUUGAAUCUCAUUUCCUGUUUGGCCAGCGUGGCAAGCUGCAGGUGACCAUGCAGAGCUCAUCAGCAGAGGUGACCAUGAUGGAAUCCCAGAAUCACAAAAGAGCUCCAGCAUGGACUGAACGGGAGGUGUGGGAUCCGAUCGCUAUAUGGGGAGAGGAAUCCGUGCUAUCAGAACUCCGGUCCAGUUUUCGAAAUGCCAAAACCUUUGUCAAAAUCUCCCAGGGCAUGAAGGACAGAGGCCAUAACAGGGACCCGAAGUAGUGCUGCAUGAAACUUAAGGAGCUGAGGCAAGCCUACCAGAAAACCAGAGAGGCGAACGGCUGGUCCGGGUCAGAGCCCCAAACAUGCCGCUUCUAUGAUGAGCUGCAUGCCAUUUUAGGGGGUUCAGCCACCACUACCCCAGCCGUGUUGUUUGACUCCUUCAAUGGAGAUGGAGGCAACACGGAAGCAGGUUUUGGGGACGAAGAAGAUGAUGAUGAUGAUGAUGAGGUUGUAGAUAGCUCACAGCAAGCAAGCGGAGAAACCGGUUUUCCCGACAGCCAGGAACUGUUUCUCACCAUGGACCUGGAGCCAGUACCCCCCGAACCCACCCAAGGCUGCCUCCUGGACCCGGCAGGCGGAGAAGGGACCUCCGUUGCAUGUGUUUAAAUGAUCACAGGAUCUUCUCCUUCCCAGAGGCUAGUGAAGAUUAGAAACAAAAAAAAAAACGCACUUGUGAUGAAAUGUUCUCUGAGCUCAUGCUGUCCUCCCGCACUGACAGAGCACAGACGAAUGUGUGGAGGCAAAUAAUGUCAGAGUGCAGGAAAGCACAAAAUGACCAGGAGGAGAGGUGGCGGGCUGAAGAGAGUAAGUGGCGGGCUGAAGAGAGGGCUGAAGCUCAAAUGUGGCGACAGCGUGAUGAGAGGAGGCAGGAUUCAAUGCUGAGGCUGCUGGAGGACCAAACCAGUAUGCUCCAGUGUAUGGUUGAGCUGCAGCAAAGGCAGCUGGAGCACAGACUGCCACUACAGCCCCUGUGUAACCAACCGCCCUCCUCCCCAAGUUCCAUAGCCUCCACACCCAGAUGCCCAAGAACACGGCGGGGGGGCCUCCGGCCAACCAGCCACUCCACCACAGAGGAUUGCCCAAAAAACAGAAGGCUGGCAUUCAAUAAAUUUUAAA